rnacentral:sRNA from 1 species
GAUUCUCUGUGUAAGCGAAAG